AKCCAUAUACAUGCAAGUCGAACSAGCGUUCCGYGURAAUGACGUGCUUGCACUGAUUUUAACAAUGAAGCGAKUGGCGAACUGGUGAGUAACACGUGGGAAAUCUGCCCAGAAGCAGGGGAUAACACUUGGAAACAGGUGCUAAUACCGUAUAACAACAAAAUCCGCAUGGAUUUUGUUUGAAAGGUGGCUUCGGCUAUCACUUCUGGAUGAUCCCGCGGCGUAUUAGUUAGUUGGUGAGGUAAAGGCCCACCAAGACGAUGAUACGUAGCCGACCUGAGAGGGUAAUCGGCCACAUUGGGACUGAGACACGGCCCAAACUCCUACGGGAGGCAGCAGUAGGGAAUCUUCCACAAUGGACGAAAGUCUGAUGGAGCAAUGCCGCGUGAGUGAAGAAGGGUUUCGGCUCGUAAAACUCUGUUGUUAAAGAAGAACACCUUUGAGAGUAACUGUUCAAGGGUUGACGGUAUUUAACCAGAAAGCCACGGCUAACUACGUGCCAGCAGCCGCGGUAAUACGUAGGUGGCAAGCGUUGUCCGGAUUUAUUGGGCGUAAAGCGAGCGCAGGCGGUUUUUUAAGUCUGAUGUGAAAGCCUUCGGCUUAACCGGAGAAGUGCAUCGGAAACUGGGAGACUUGAGUGCAGAAGAGGACAGUGGAACUCCAUGUGUAGCGGUGGAAUGCGUAGAUAUAUGGAAGAACACCAGUGGCGAAGGCGGCUGUCUAGUCUGUAACUGACGCUGAGGCUCGAAAGCAUGGGUAGCGAACAGGAUUAGAUACCCUGGUAGUCCAUGCCGUAAACGAUGAGUGCUAAGUGUUGGAGGGUUUCCGCCCUUUCAGUGCUGCAGCUAACGCAUUAAGCACUCCGCCUGGGGAGUACGACCGCAAGGUUGAAACUCAAAGGAAUUGACGGGGGCCCGCACAAGCGGUGGAGCAUGUGGUUUAAUUCGAAGCUACGCGAAGAACCUUUACCAGUCUUGACAUCUUCUGCCAAUCUUAGAGAUAGACGUUCCCUUUCGGGGACAGAUGACAAGUGAUGCAUGGAUUGUCGUCAGCUCGUGUCGUGARGAUGGUUGGUUUAGUUCCCGCACCGAGCGCACCGUAAUAAUCAGUGCAGCAUUUCAGUUGGGGGCAAUACAYG
rnacentral:rRNA from 1 species